rnacentral:rRNA from 1 species
CCUACGGGGGGCAGCAGUGGGGAAUAUUGGGCAAUGGGCGCAAGCCUGACCCAGCAACGCCGCGUGAAGGAAGAAGGCUUUCGGGUUGUAAACUUCUUUUCUCAGGGACGAAGCAAGUGACGGUACCUGAGGAAUAAGCCACGGCUAACUACGUGCCAGUAGCCGCGGUAAUACGUAGGUGCCAAGCGUUAUCCGGAUUUACUGGGUGUAAAGGGCGUGUAGGCGGGAAAGCAAGUCAGAUGUGAAAACCAUGGGCUCAACCUGUGGCCUGCAUUUGAAACUGUUUGUCUUGAGUACUGGAGAGGCGGACGGAAUUCCUGGUGUAGCGGUGAAAUGCGUAGAGAUUAGGAGGAACACCAGUGGCGAAGGCGGUCUGCUGGACAGCAACUGACGCUGAGGCGCGAAAGCGUGGGGAGCAAACAGGAUUAGAUACCCCGGUAGUC